UGGCAUACCUAUGUAAUUACUUAC
rnacentral:siRNA from 1 species